CCUACGGGAGGCAGCAGUGGGGAAUAUUGCACAAUGGGGGAAACCCUGAUGCAGCGACGCCGCGUGAGUGAAGAAGUAUUUCGGUAUGUAAAGCUCUAUCAGCAGGGAAGAAGAUGACGGUACCUGACUAAGAAGCUCCGGCUAAAUACGUGCCAGCAGCCGCGGUAAUACGUAUGGAGCAAGCGUUAUCCGGAUUUACUGGGUGUAAAGGGAGCGUAGGCGGCCUGGCAAGUCUGGUGUGAAAACCCGGGGCCCAACCCCGGGAGUGCAUUGGAAACUGCCAGGCUGGAGUGCCGGAGGGGCAGGCGGAAUUCCUAGUGUAGCGGUGAAAUGCGUAGAUAUUAGGAGGAACACCGGUGGCGAAGGCGGCCUGCUGGACGGCAACUGACGCUGAGGCUCGAAAGCGUGGGGAGCAAACAGGAUUAGAUACCCGGGUAGUC
rnacentral:rRNA from 1 species